CCGCAACGCGCGCUACACUGAAGGAAUCAGCGUGUGUUCUCCCUGAUCCGAAAGGACCGGGUAACCCGUUGAACCUCCUUCGUGCUAGGGAUUGUGGCUUGCAAUUGUUCCACAUGAACGAGGAAUUCCCAGUAAGCACGAGUCAUAAGCUCGUGUUGAUUACGU
rnacentral:rRNA from 1 species